rnacentral:rRNA from 1 species
GAUGAACGCUGGCGGCGUGCCUAACACAUGCAAGUCGAGCGAACCCUUCGGGGUGACCGGCGGACGGGUGAGUAACGCGUGGGUAACCUGCCCUGUACACACGGAUAACAUACCGAAAGGUAUGCUAAUACGAGAUAAUAUGUAAUGAUCGCAUGGUCGAUACAUCAAAGCUCCGGCGGUACAGGAUGGACCCGCGUCUGAUUAGCUAGUUGGUGAGGUAAUGGCUCACCAAGGCGACGAUCAGUAGCCGACCUGAGAGGGUGAUCGGCCACAUUGGAACUGAGACACGGUCCAAACUCCUACGGGAGGCAGCAGUGGGGAAUAUUGCACAAUGGGCGAAAGCCUGAUGCAGCAACGCCGCGUGAGCGAUGAAGGCCUUCGGGUCGUAAAGCUCUGUCCUCAAGGAAGAUAAUGACGGUACUUGAGGAGGAAGCCCCGGCUAACUACGUGCCAGCAGCCGCGGUAAUACGUAGGGGGCUAGCGUUAUCCGGAUUUACUGGGCGUAAAGGGUGCGUAGGCGGUCUUUCAAGUCAGGAGUGAAAGGCUACGGCUCAACCGUAGUAAGCUCUUGAAACUGUAAGACUUGAGUGCAGGAGAGGAGAGUGGAAUUCCUAGUGUAGCGGUGAAAUGCGUAGAUAUUAGGAGGAACACCAGUUGCGAAGGCGGCUCUCUGGACUGUAACUGACGCUGAGGCACGAAAGCGUGGGGAGCAAACAGGAUUAGAUACCUGGUAGUCCACGCCGUAAACGAUGAGUACUAGCUGUCGGAGGUUACCCCCUUCGGUGGCGCAGCUAACGCAUUAAGUACUCCGCCUGGGAAGUACGCUCGCAAGAGUGAAACUCAAAGGAAUUGACGGGGACCCGCACAAGUAGCGGAGCAUGUGGUUUAAUUCGAAGCAACGCGAAGAACCUUACCUAAGCUUGACAUCCUUUUGACCUCUCCCUAAUCGGAGAUUUCCCUUCGGGGACAGAAGUGACAGGUGGUGCAUGGUUGUCGUCAGCUCGUGUCGUGAGAUGUUGGGUUAAGUCCCGCAACGAGCGCAACCCUUGCCUUUAGUUGCCAGCAUUAAGUUGGGCACUCUAGAGGGACUGCCAGGGAUAACCUGGAGGAAGGUGGGGAUGACGUCAAAUCAUCAUGCCCCUUAUGCUUAGGGCUACACACGUGCUACAAUGGGUGGUACAGAGGGCAGCCAAGUCGUGAGGCGGAGCUAAUCCCUUCAAGCCAUUCUCAGUUCGGAUUGUAGGCUGAAACUCGCCUACAUGAAGCUGGAGUUACUAGUAAUCGCAGAUCAGAAUGCUGCGGUGAAUGCGUUCCCGGGUCUUGUACACACCGCCCGUC